AGGAGCUCAGGGCAGCUGGAAGAGCUGUGCUCGCCUCCCCUCCCCCGUUGCAGGGGGCACUCCCACGACAACCUGCGAGAGCUCCCAGGGGUCCGCGGGAAACUGGCCAGCAUCCAGGCAAGCCUUUUCCAGAGCAGUGCCUGGAGCUGGGUGCACCUAGAGCUGCAGGCCGCGCCGGAGCCUCCUGGCCUGGGAUUCUCGCCCAAGCUCGCACCGAAAGGGGAUGGGUCAGACCUCGGCAGUGCUGGCUCCAGCCCAUUGGAGGUGGGCUCUUGCUCGCAGUGGGCAGCUGGUUGUGCCCCGACACAUUCUUGUGUGAGCCCUGGCUUCCUUCUUGGAGAGCAGUGACUUGCAUCUCAUCAGCGGGUUCCCAGUGGUGGGCUGGUGUCUGUCGGAAAUGGCACCUCGGACGUAGUGCCGCACAUGGCUGUCAGCUCACCUUCAUGCGAUAUGCAGUGUGAUCGCACUUGGUAACAUGCUACAAACGAACAAGAUGACCAGUCUUCUCUUCCGCCACUCUUUAUACAGGACAAGUGACGGGAAACAACGAAGUGACUUAAUGAAGAAGUACUAUGAAAAUAGAGUUGAAUUCCACUUUGAACCAUAAAAAUGUCAUUUCCAAUAGUACCAGGGAAAUGCAUCUAUACCUGCCAGCCUGAUCAUCCUGAGAGACUUUAAGUCCUGUAGCUUUUAAGGCUGUGAAGGAAUCCAUCAGCAAGCUUAGGCAGUACUCUUCUAUGUAUUAGUAACUAACUGAAGUAUUACAGCUCUACAGACUUGCCCACAGUUGACUGGUUGAAUGGGAAAAGUACAUUUUUGUGUGUGUGAAUUUUAAUGCUCCUGAAUGAUGCUGGCUGAAAGUCCUGGAGAAUGCAAUCCAGAGAUCCAAUACAGCAGUAAUGCGAGUUUGUUGCCCUGCCUUGUGCUUCACUCAACUAUAGAAGUACGAUCACAUCUAAAGCUCAGCCCUGGAAGAGCAAGUCAAGCCGCUAGCCCGAGGGGAGAGCUGUGGGAUCCGUCACACAGGCGGGGAGCUAGGAGCGAGCGUCCUGUCACGCUGCAAAUUGCUGAGUACGUUGCUUGCUCCCGCCGAGGACAGUGACUGCCGGUAUUGUCAGACCCUGCUGGGGAGCUCUCCUGGCAGCCCCCUCCUGGAUCAAGACAGCCAAGUGCUGGCAGGGACACAACACAGCACAGCUAUAAGGCAGCAGAGAAAUGACUCCGUCGUAGCCCGAGCAGUGAAACCGAACGGCCUGCCAUCUGAUCUUCACAGCAGGGUUAGCUGAAAACGUUAGUAGCUUCAGACGCUACGUCAGGGCAGCACCAGCCACCACUGGGGCAGCGAGCAGCAACUCAGCCACAGCCCCGUCAGCUUUGCCACAGUUGCGGGGAAGAGUCAUUUUGGCCAGGGACGCCGGGUCAGACGCCUGAGUGCCGAGGGACGCUGCUGUGCCCAAGGAGCGGCCAGCUCUUCGCUGAAAGACCCAGGCAGGAGGAUCACCAGUCAGUACUGCAAACCCAGACAUUUGCUCUUACGGGGGUGAACCCAUUUUAAGGUUACCAACACCGCUAGUGACAAACUCCACUCCAUGAGGCCAUCGGAUCUGCGUUUUCCAGUCGGCGGAGAUUCACGAGAUUGCAGUUUAAACCUGUCCAGCUUCUCUUCUCCUUUGGCACCUCUCACCCGCCUUGUCUGCAAAGGAGAGAACUGGGCACAGCUCCCCUUAGCUCUCUAGAUCAGUGGUUCUCAGCCGUGGGCCAUAUGGCUCCCCAGGGGCCACGCCCUACCUCUAGGGGGCCACAUGGGAAAAACGGAACAGUAGGUAAAUGAUGGACCUUUUCUUCCAACUGACUGCGGCUCUGAGGGGGCCACAGAGGUAAACGAGGCUCAGAAGGGGGCCGUGAGCAAAAAAAGGUUGAGAACCACUGAUCUAGAUCACACUUAAUGCAUAUUGGAGACAUGAAAUCUUUGGAUAAGUUCUGAAUCAAGUCCCGGUAAACCAGAGUCUCUCCAGCGCGCCAGAGGGCCGAUAGUGCACUGAGUGGUGUAGCACCCGGCGCUCUCACGUGACUAACGGCUGACAGGUGAUCUGACACUUCCCUCGGCCCAUUCGCUCCUCCUCCACUCCCCGUUGACACGACACUUCCCGUGGAUUCCCAGGUUGACGUCACACACAAGCAUCAGCACUUCCGCCCUGUUCUUGUGGAAGUUGCC